rnacentral:rRNA from 1 species
UACGUAGGGGGCGAGCGUUGUCCGGAGUUACUGGGCGUAAAGGGCGUGCAGGCGGUGCGGUAAGUUUAGCGUGACAGUCUCCGGGCUUAACUGGAGAAGGCCGCUGAAAACUGCUGGACUUGAGGGCCAGAGAGGGACAUAGAAUCCGGGUGGAGUGGUGAAAUGCGUAGAUAUCCGGAGGAAUACCAAAGGCGAAGGCAGUGUCCUGGCUGGCAACUGACGCUGAGGCGCGAAAGCUAGGGGAGCGAACAGG